rnacentral:rRNA from 1 species
GAUCAUGGCUCAGGAUGAACGCUAGCGACAGGCUUAACACAUGCAAGUCGAGGGCAGCAUAAAAGUAGCAAUACGUUGGUGGCGACCGGCGCACGGGUGAGUAACGCGUAUGCCAACCUACCUAUCAGAGGGAACUAACCGGCGAAAGUCGGACUAAUACCGCAUAAACAGGGGCACCGCAUGGUGAUAUUUGUUAAAGAGAUUCGCUGAUAGAUGGGCAUGCGUUCCAUUAGGUAGUUGGUGAGGUAACGGCUCACCAAGCCGACGAUGGAUAGGGGAACUGAGAGGUUGGUCCCCCACACUGGUACUGAGACACGGACCAGACUCCUACGGGAGACAGCAGUGAGGAAUAUUGGUCAAUGGGCGGGAGCCUGAACCAGCCAAGUCCGCGUGAAGGAAGAAGGAUCUAUGGUUCGUAAACUUCUUUUGCAGGGGAAUAAAGUGCAGGACGUGUCCUGUUUUGUAUGUACCCUGAGAAUAAGGAUCGGCUAACUCCGUGCCAGCCGCCGC